GGGCGUAAGGGCUCGCAGGCGGUUUUCUUAAGUCUGAUGUGAAAGCCCCCGGCUCAACCGGGGAGGGUCAUUGGAAACUGGGAAACUUGAGUGCAGAAGAGGAGAGUGGAAUUCCACGUGUAGCGGUGAAAUGCGUAGAGAUGUGGAGGAACACCAGUGGCGAAGGCGACUCUCUGGUCUGUAACUGACGCUGAGGAGCGAAAGCGUGGGGAGCGAACAGGAUUAGAUACCCUGGUAGUCCACGCCGUAAACGAUGAGUGCUAAGUGUUAGGGGGUUUCCGCCCCUUAGUGCUGCAGCUAACGCAUUAAGCACUCCGCCUGGGGAGUACGGUCGCAAGACUGAAACUCAAAGGAAUUGACGGGGGCCCGCACAAGCGGUGGAGCAUGUGGUUUAAUUCGAAGCAACGCGAAGAACCUUACCAGGUCUUGACAUCCUCUGACAACCCUAGAGAUAGGGCUUUCCCUUCGGGGACAGAGUGACAGGUGGUGCAUGGUUGUCGUCAGCUCGUGUCGUGAGAUGUUGGGUUAAGUCCCGCAACGAGCGCAACCCUUGAUCUUAGUUGCCAGCAUUCAGUUGGGCACUCUAAGGUGACUGCCGGUGACAAACCGGAGGAAGGUGGGGAUGACGUCAAAUCAUCAUGCCCCUUAUGACCUGGGCUACACACGUGCUACAAUGGACAGAACAAAGGGCUGCAAGACCGCAAGGUUUAGCCAAUCCCAUAAAUCUGUUCUCAGUUCGGAUCGCAGUCUGCAACUCGACUGCGUGAAGCUGGAAUCGCUAGUAAUCGCGGAU
rnacentral:rRNA from 1 species